UGCCUACGGGGGGCAGCAGUGGGGAAUAUUGCACAAUGGGGGAAACCCUGAUGCAGCGACGCCGCGUGAGUGAAGAAGUAUUUCGGUAUGUAAAGCUCUAUCAGCAGGGAAGAAGCAAGACGGUACCUGACUAAGAAGCCCCGGCUAACUACGUGCCAGCAGCCGCGGUAAUACGUAGGAGGCAAGCGUUAUCCGGAUUUACUGGGUGUAAAGGGAGCGUAGACGGCUGUGCAAGUCUGGAGUGAAAGGCAUGGGCUCAACCUGUGGACUGCUUUGGAAACUGUGCGGCUUGAGUGUCGGAGAGG
rnacentral:rRNA from 1 species